UUGCUUCACGAGCACAUAGACUAAAACUGGAACGAUACCGAGAAGAUUAGCACGGCCCCUGUGCAAGGACGAUACGCAAAUUCAUGAAGCAUUCCCUACUUUU